GAACUAAGGCGAAUGGUCGCUGCUGCCAAGUGCAGGAGAGGAAAGUCCGGGCUUCAUAGAGCAGGAUGCCUGAUAACGUCAGGUUGAGGUGACUCACAGGAAAGUGCAACAGAAAAGAACCGCCGGUUUCCGGUAAGGGUGAAAAGGGGGUGUAAGAGACCACCGGUUUCCUGGUAACAGGAAAUGCUAUGUAAACCCCAUCCGAAGCAAGGUUAAACAGAGGGCAUAAGGUGGCUCGCCUGCCCUCGGGUAAACCGCUUGAGGCUUAUGGCGACAUAAGUCCUAGAUAGAUGACCAUUUUUAACAUAACCCGGCUUAUAGCCAUAGUUCCCCC
rfam:Oribacterium sinus F0268 genomic scaffold SCAFFOLD1, whole genome shotgun sequence.